UCUCUCUCUAGCAAUUUAAUAAAAAUGUCACCUUUUCUGUUCUGGAGUUUGCUCCCAGUUUUGCUUCUUGUGUUGAUGUUCAGUUCCCACAAAAAUAUAGGGUUUUUGAACAGUGGUGUAUAGAGCUAUAGAUUAUACAUACAUGUGGUGAAGGGGGUGCACACUGUAGCAAAAUUCAAGAAAUCAGUCUUGUUAUUUACCAAAUGCAUUAAAGGACCAUGCUUCAUUAGCUUUCAAUGCUUACUUCCAAAAGUUUAAGCAUAGUGGUGCCUCUUGCUACUUUCAUAGAUCAUGACCACCGAAAAAGACCCGAGUUAUGGUUCAUGCCACUAUGAUUAUACUCCUUGAUCCAAUGUGACAACAAAGAGGGCAAAUGAACUUGCAACCAAGAGGGCAAAUGAACCUGCUAAAAUGCGCCACUUUAGGCUUCUGUAACCUUGAUAAACUUUGGGCGUAUGAACCAUCAUGUGGCCAUGUGGUAGCUAUAAAAACAGAACAGAAGCUAUGUUAAACAAAUAAUUUUAAACCAAUUAAAAUGCCACGUUAAGAUAUAAGAUUCUCAUUUACUUUAA
rnacentral:lncRNA from 1 species